rnacentral:rRNA from 1 species
AGAGUUUGAUCAUGGCUCAGGACGAACGCUGGCGGCGUGCUUAACACAUGCAAGUCGAACGGAAAGGCCCUUCGGGGUACUCGAGUGGCGAACGGGUGAGUAACACGUGGGUGAUCUGCCCUGCACUUUGGGAUAAGCCUGGGAAACUGGGUCUAAUACCGAAUAGGACCACGCGCUUCAUGGUGUGUGGUGGAAAGCUUUUGCGGUGUGGGAUGGGCCCGCGGCCUAUCAGCUUGUUGGUGGGGUAAUGGCCUACCAAGGCGACGACGGGUAGCCGGCCUGAGAGGGUGACCGGCCACACUGGGACUGAGAUACGGCCCAGACUCCUACGGGAGGCAGCAGUGGGGAAUAUUGCACAAUGGGCGCAAGCCUGAUGCAGCGACGCCGCGUGAGGGAUGCCGGCCUUCGGGUUGUAAACCUCUUUCAAUAGGGACGAAGCGCAAGUGACGGUACCUAUAGAAGAAGCACCGGCCAACUACGUGCCAGCAGCCGCGGUAAUACGUAGGGUGCGAGCGUUGUCCGGAAUUACUGGGCGUAAAGAGCUCGUAGGUGGUUUGUCGCGUUGUUCGUGAAAACUCACAGCUUAACUGUGGGCGUGCGGGCGAUACGGGCAGACUAGAGUACUGCAGGGGAGACUGGAAUUCCUGGUGUAGCGGUGGAAUGCGCAGAUAUCAGGAGGAACACCGGUGGCGAAGGCGGGUCUCUGGGCAGUAACUGACGCUGAGGAGCGAAAGCGUGGGGAGCGAACAGGAUUAGAUACCCUGGUAGUCC